CUCUUAUUCUGCGUAGGUAGGUAAAUAUAUAUUGAAAUAUUGAUGUAUUGUCUGCGAUGUAUAUAAAAGUCCGACUCAGACAACUCGAAAUAGGAGUUAUAUCAACUCAUUCAAGAUGACCGCAAGGAUGACAUUCGUUUUGUUGGCCUUGGUCGUAUGUACUUCACUUCUUCACGUGAAGGCGCAAUAUGGAGCAGGCAAUUCUGCGUCAGCGUACAGUUAUGGUGGCUCAAGUUGGCCCUCGUGGACUUGGCCAUCGCGACAAUAUUGCUGGAAGCGGCACGAGGAAUACAAGCAAUGUGUCAGCGGGAGCUGCGGCGAGUGGAAGUGUCCUUACCUGUACCAAGGCUGGCCUAGAGCGUGCACCACGGACUGCCAGAGCGGCUGUUUCUGUAAAGAAGGUUACUUCCGAAAUCGCCGUGGCAAUUGUGUUCUCGGAUAUAAAUGCUUCAGAGAAAUAUUGCCUGCCGUGGGAUCCUUUGCCGAGUGACACCGUUCCAUGAAUUAACCAUGACCGCAUUCUUCAAGAGCACUUCUUAUUUCUUAUAUGAAACAAAGUUAACACACAUGAAAAAAAUCAGCAAUAAAGUUUUGAUGAAGGGC